UGUAACCCUUCACCUCCCUGGCCUGUCUUCACCACCAAAGGCCAGGGGAGUGGUGGGACCAACUGCAUCAUCCCUUUUAAUCGUUGGGGAAACUGAGGCUUAAAGGGUCAGGGAAGCUGACACCGAAUGUGCCAGCUGGCAUCCAGGACCCCCUCACAGCCCGGUCGCUGGUCUGCUGCCCCAAUGCCUGACUCUUGCCGAGCCUCCACUCUGUGACAGACGCUGUGGUAGCCUGAAGAGUGGCCCCCCAGAGAUGUCCACAUCCUGACCCCAGAUGCCAUCAACAUAUGACCUUACAUGGCGGGAAGGAUUCUGCAGAUGCGAUGAAGUUAAGGAUCUUGAGAUAGAAAGAUUGUCCUGGAUUAUCAGAGUGGGCCUCUUGUAAUCGCAAAGGUACUUAUAAAAGGGAGGCAGGAAGGUCAGAGGUCAGAGGAGAACAUGUGACAAUGGAAGUAGAGGUCAGAGCAAUGCAGCCCUGAGCUGGAGAAUGUGAGCAGCCCCUAGAAGCUGGAGAUGCGAGGAAGUAGAGACUCGCCUGGAGCCUCCACAAGGAACACAUCCACCCCGACACCUUGAUUUUAGCCCAGUGAGACUGAUUUUGGACUUCUAAUCUACAGGGCUGUAAA